rnacentral:rRNA from 1 species
UACGGGGGGAGCAAGCGUUGUUCGGAUUUAUUGGGCGUAAAGCGCGUGUAGGCGGUUUCUUAAGUCUGAUGUGAAAGCCCCGGGCUCAACCCGGGAAGUGCAUUGGAUACUGGGAGACUUGAAUACGGGAGAGGGUAGUGGAAUUCCUAGUGUAGGAGUGAAAUCCGUAGAUAUUAGGAGGAACACCGGUGGCGAAGGCGGCUACCUGGACCGAUAUUGACGCUGAGACGCGAAAGCGUGGGGAGCAAACAGG